AUUUGAUCAAAUAGAAGAAGACCUCUGAGCAUUUGGGAAUGGCAGAUAUUUAUAGGCUGAGCAGUCGAGUGCGGGUGGGGUGCGAAGGUUGAGUGCUAGGAAGAUGAUUGUUGACUCAGAUGAAGAAAACGAGGUUGGUGUGACAAAAGUGAAUUAUAUAUGUUAAUGCCAGGAAUUUUAUGUCUUUUCCUCAUCCACCGACCGCGUGGCAUAAAUUGUGGAAACAUUAUUAAAAUUCAUUUUCAACUCAUUCUGAUGACAUUGUGCUACAAACGUAUCAAAAUGUGACGAAUUGUCUAAUAGUUUGAUGUUAUUAAAAGUCUAACUUAACUUUAUAAAGCAGUCUACUAGACACACCACUACAAUCUACUUUAUCGAG
rnacentral:lncRNA from 1 species